rnacentral:lncRNA from 1 species
CAGUCACGAAGAGAGUAUUUCCUGGUUGUUUUUGUAAUUCAAAUCACCUUGUUAAGGUGAGUGCGUGACCAUGAGCUUAUCUAAGCGAUUGGGAUUGAGUGACUUGUUGUGUGAUGAUUUGUAGGUGAACUGGAUGUGUUAUUGGAUGUUUAGCUUGCUGGAUGGUUUAUUUUUGUUAUAUAUGUGGGUGUUAUCUCAUUGCUUGUGUGUAUAGCUCGUAGAUGGGAGGAUCGCCCUCACUAAGUAUUUAUGAAAUACUUAUGCAUCUCUUUCUUUGAUGCAGGUAAAAGCAAAGUGUGAUCCGUGGAAUCAUGGCGAGGAGAGGAGGAUGAUCUAGGCACUCAUUGGUGUUUUAGAUUAUUGUUGGAUUUGUUAGGGUGUUAGAAUGGAAUUUAGAAACAUGUUAGGAUGAUCAUGUUUUGGAAUAAUGUUUGGUUGAACUUGUUGGUUUACUUUAAUGAGAUUGCUUGGUUUAAUUGAUUUAAAUUAUUAUGGCCGGUUUAGCUGGUUCGAAUUAAUUGGGUUAAUCCGGUUGCAUGUUUAAAAGAAAAAAAAGGGAUGGGUUCUUUCAAUGUUUAACUGCAAAGAACACUAUAAUAAACGAUAUUAAUG